GGGUUGUGAGGUUAAGCGACUAAGCGUACACGGUGGAUGCCCUGGCAGUCAGAGGCGAUGAAGGACGUGCUAAUCUGCGAAAAGCGUCGGUAAGGUGAUAUGAACCGUUAUAACCGGCGAUGUCCGAAUGGGGAAACCCAGUGCAAUUCGUUGCACUAUCGUUAACUGAAUACAUAGGUUAACGAGGCGAACCGGGGGAACUGAAACAUCUAAGUACCCCGAGGAAAAGAAAUCAACCGAGAUUCCCCCAGUAGCGGCGAGCGAACGGGGAGCAGCCCAGAGUCUGAAUCAGCUUGUGUGUUAGUGGAACGGUCUGGAAAGUCCGACGGUACAGGGUGAUAGUCCCGUACACCAAAAUGCACAGGCUGUGAACUCGAAGAGUAGGGCGGGACACGUGGUAUCCUGUCUGAAUAUGGGGGACCAUCCUCCAAGGCUAAAUACUCCUGACUGACCGAUAGUGAACCAGUACCGUGAGGGAAAGGCGAAAAGAACCCCGGCGAGGGGAGUGAAAAAGAACCUGAAACCGUGUACGUACAAGCAGUGGGAGCACCUUCGGGUGUGACUGCGUACCUUUUGUAUAAUGGGUCAGCGACUUAUAUUCUGUAGCAAGGUUAACCGUAUAGGGGAGCCGCAGGGAAACCGAGUCUUAACUGGGCGUUAAGUUGCAGGGUAUAGACCCGAAACCCGGUGAUCUAGCCAUGGGCAGGUUGAAGGUUGGGUAACACUAACUGGAGGACCGAACCGACUAAUGUUGAAAAAUUAGCGGAUGACUUGUGGCUGGGGGUGAAAGGCCAAUCAAACCGGGAGAUAGCUGGUUCUCCCCGAAAGCUAUUUAGGUAGCGCCUCGUGAAUUCAUCUUCGGGGUAGAGCACUGUUUCGGCUAGGGGGUCAUCCCGACUUACCAACCCGAUGCAAACUACGAAUACCGAAGAAUGUUAUCACGGGAGACACACGGCGGGUGCUAACGUCCGUCGUGAAGAGGGAAACAACCCAGACCGCCAGCUAAGGUCCCAAAGUCAUGGUUAAGUGGGAAACGAUGUGGGAAGGCACAGACAGCCAGGAUGUUGGCUUAGAAGCAGCCAUCAUUUAAAGAAAGCGUAAUAGCUCACUGGUCGAGUCGGCCUGCGCGGAAGAUGUAACGGGGCUAAACCAUGCACCGAAGCUGCGGCAGCGACACUAUGUGUUGUUGGGUAGGGGAGCGUUCUGUAAGCCUGCGAAGGUGUGCUGUGAGGCAUGCUGGAGGUAUCAGAAGUGCGAAUGCUGACAUAAGUAACGAUAAAGCGGGUGAAAAGCCCGCUCGCCGGAAGACCAAGGGUUCCUGUCCAACGUUAAUCGGGGCAGGGUGAGUCGGCCCCUAAGGCGAGGCCGAAAGGCGUAGUCGAUGGGAAACAGGUUAAUAUUCCUGUACUUGGUGUUACUGCGAAGGGGGGACGGAGAAGGCUAUGUUAGCCGGGCGACGGUUGUCCCGGUUUAAGCAUGUAGGCUGGUUGUCCAGGCAAAUCCGGAUAAUCAAGGCUGAGGUGUGAUGACGAGGCACUACGGUGCUGAAGUAACAAAUGCCCUGCUUCCAGGAAAAGCCUCUAAGCAUCAGGUAACAUCAAAUCGUACCCCAAACCGACACAGGUGGUCAGGUAGAGAAUACCAAGGCGCUUGAGAGAACUCGGGUGAAGGAACUAGGCAAAAUGGUGCCGUAACUUCGGGAGAAGGCACGCUGGUGUGUAGGUGAAGUCCCUGCGGAUGGAGCUGAGACCAGUCGAAGAUACCAGCUGGCUGCAACUGUUUAUUAAAACACAGCACUGUGCAAACACGAAAGUGGACGUAUACGGUGUGACGCCUGCCCGGUGCCGGAAGGUUAAUUGAUGGGGUUAUCCGUAAGGAGAAGCUCUUGAUCGAAGCCCCGGUAAACGGCGGCCGUAACUAUAACGGUCCUAAGGUAGCGAAAUUCCUUGUCGGGUAAGUUCCGACCUGCACGAAUGGCGUAAUGAUGGCCAGGCUGUCUCCACCCGAGACUCAGUGAAAUUGAACUCGCUGUGAAGAUGCAGUGUACCCGCGGCAAGACGGAAAGACCCCGUGAACCUUUACUAUAGCUUGACACUGAACAUUGAGCCUUGAUGUGUAGGAUAGGUGGGAGGCUUUGAAGCGUGGACGCCAGUCUGCGUGGAGCCAACCUUGAAAUACCACCCUUUAAUGUUUGAUGUUCUAACGUUGGCCCCUUACCGGGGUUGCGGACAGUGUCUGGUGGGUAGUUUGACUGGGGCGGUCUCCUCCCAAAGCGUAACGGAGGAGCACGAAGGUUAGCUAAUCCUGGUCGGACAUCAGGAGGUUAGUGCAAUGGCAUAAGCUAGCUUGACUGCGAGCGUGACGGCGCGAGCAGGUGCGAAAGCAGGUCAUAGUGAUCCGGUGGUUCUGAAUGGAAGGGCCAUCGCUCAACGGAUAAAAGGUACUCCGGGGAUAACAGGCUGAUACCGCCCAAGAGUUCAUAUCGACGGCGGUGUUUGGCACCUCGAUGUCGGCUCAUCACAUCCUGGGGCUGAAGUAGGUCCCAAGGGUAUGGCUGUUCGCCAUUUAAAGUGGUACGCGAGCUGGGUUUAGAACGUCGUGAGACAGUUCGGUCCCUAUCUGCCGUGGGCGCUGGAGAAUUGAGGGGGCUGCUCCUAGUACGAGAGGACCGGAGUGGACGCAUCACUGGUGUUCGGGUUGUCAUGCCAAUGGCACUGCCCGGUAGCUAAAUGCGGAAGAGAUAAGUGCUGAAAGCAUCUAAGCACGAAACUUGCCCCGAGAUGAGUUCUCCCUGAGACUUUAAGUCUCCUGAAGGAACGUUGAAGACGACGACGUUGAUAGGCCGGGUGUGUAAGCGCAGCGAUGCGUUGAGCUAACCGGUACUAAUGAACCGUGAGGCUUAACCUUACAACGCCGAAG
rnacentral:rRNA from 1 species